AUCAAAGGUUGAGUGUUUAGAAGGAGAAAGCUUCAGCCAUUGCAGCGUUCCUGCGCGAGCUAGCACUCCCGCGGAAGACGAUCUACCUAGGGCUUCGCGUGGACAAUCUAUAAAGACCAGAUACGUGUGCGGCUGCAAAGCGUGAUCAAGAAGUCAUCCAAGAACUCCAAGGAAUCAGAUCCAAGAUCAUGAGAAAUGACUCCUGUGGAGAAUCUCUUGGCCAUAAAUCUUAGGUGAAACCUCAUUAUCAUUUAUAUUUCUAGUAAAGUCGCAUUACGUGUACUAUACUGAAGUUGUACAUAUGACAAGGACACAACAUUCUGUUGGAUUUUUUAGUUCGUUGCACUCCCAUCAAAAGCAAAUAGAAGUGGUUGUUUGCAAUUUAGAGGUUGAUUUUUAUUAGUGAUAACUGAUAAAGGAAGGUUUUAUAUAAAUAUUCGAUAAAAUAAUAGAUAUGAUUUAACUCAUAUGAUUUUGAUGAGUUUACAUGAUUAAGUUGUGAUCAGCAAGAGAGUUAGCUUUCUCAUAUCGUAGCUUUAUAAAAAUAGACAAAAUUAAAUAGACUGCUUAAUAUAAUAUUAGUUGGUAAUAAUAAUUGUAUGAAAACACAAGAAGUGCAUAAAUUCAUUUUUUUAUAAUUAGUACGACAAUAUAAAUAAAAUUAUGAACAACUCACUCUUUUUAAAUAUGCUUGUUUAUAAAAAAACAAUAUUUAGAGGCAUCAUCUAUUUAGCAUAUAAUACAUUGGAGACAAUCUAUUUAGUACUAAAGGCAUUGAAAAAAUGUAAAAUUUAUAAGAUGUUGGAGGAAACGGACAAAGCAUCUUCAUAUACAUCCUUGUUGUCUUUUUCAGCGAACUAAAAAUGGUAAACUCUAUUUGGUAUAUUAUAAUAUUGAAGUUUUUAGAAAAUAUUUUUCUGGAUAUCUCCUUAGCAGUUUCUAAGUUUUUUAUUAUUAUAUUUAUAUAUGAUAAUCUAUAAGUAGUUUUCACAAGCCAAAAGUUCUAUUAUUUAAUUUUUGUACAAUAAACAACUAAAAUAAAGAUUAUAUACUAAUGAGAUUUAUAUUCAACAUUAUAUACUAAUGCGAGAUUUUAUUUGUUACAAUAUAUACCUCAACCAUCACCAUUUGUUUAUAUAACGACUAUUGCAAAGGUCAUCUAAUAGCAACGAUUUGAAAUUACAAUCAGAUGGAUCAUAUGAUUGGGGAAUGCCGAAAAGUCAUGAGCUCAAACUGGUUGGGCUUUAAAAGAACAAAGCUUGCUCGCUUCCGGCUCAACUGUGCAUUCGUUCAGCGGUGGGGCAUCAUAAAAACAUAUUUUAUAUCUACUUUUAUUUUUUAUAAAAAAAAUAUCACUCAAAAGUUAUUCCAAAAAAAAAGGGGCCUUUUGCUAUUUAAAAGUGGAACAAAAAAAGAUUGGCAUAACUCAUAGAAUAACUAUGCUCACAUACUUCACUCUUACUAUUUCCGUUUUCCAUAGAUCCAAAUCAAACGUAGUCCAAGGCUAUUGAACAUUCCAAGACCAUGGAGUAUCGAAACAAUAACGAUCAACAUCUACAUUUAUAUUGUAUUACUUAAACAGACCCUCCAAGUGAUGACCGAUAUAAUUGCACAAGUCUGCGACCAAAAAGAAAUAUCUAGCUUUUUAAACUAGCCAAAGAUAAAUCGAAUAUCUUUACUGCUAGUGGCAAACUGCAAGCCAGCAUGGCAAAAUCAAAAGCACAAUGCAGCUAUUCAUUCAAACAGUCAAACCUGCUAACUGUUCCCCAGCUCAUGCACAGAGAAAUACUCCAAACCAUUCAAAUGGGACAUUAGCUUUCCUCCAAUUACUGGUAAUCAACUUUGAUUCCUAAUACUUGCUGAAAGAGAAAUACUUUGAAUGAACAAAAUACAGAGACCAAAUUCAUGAGGCAAAACUAACACCAAAUACAGAGACCAAAUUCAUGAUGCAUAAGUAACACCAUUUGACCCACAAUCC